rnacentral:misc_RNA from 1 species
GAUGAGUGCCAUCGUUACGAUAAUAUUAUAUUUAUUCCUAUAAGCCACCUAAUAAGUAUGCAACCAGUUAUGCGUUCGUGCUUAGAACGGGUUACCUAAAUUUGGGACCAAAUACAAUAUAAGGUUGGUACUAGAUUGGGGAAAUUCUGGUCUCAGCGUGUGGCUGUACGGCUUCCGACGGAGGGGCAUAUCAUAUCGCCAGCGGAGCGGAUUGUCACUUGAAUUUCCAAUCUCGUUGGAUGAACCCAUAACUUCUUCCAUGGCCAUUGUUUGAAGAAUACUAUUUUUUGGUUGAAAUAUUCGUUUAUAGCAGAGCAGUUUACGUUGGAAGGAAUUAUUAUUAUUUUGUUUUGGAUUUGUGGAGUGAAAAAGAAGAGUUUUGUUUCCAAUAUUUUUUGAAAAGCAAUGGCCAUGGAAGAAAGAAGAUAAGAUAGGAAAUUAAGUCAACCAAUACUUUAGUUUGCCUUUAUGGAAUGAAACAUUAUUUUGGGGAAUUCUUUUGGAUGUAAAUUGUAUGGUUUUUUUUGUUGGUUCUUUGGAAUAGCAGUUGAGUUUUUUGAUACUGGGAAAGUACCUCCUUGUCAUACCUUCCUUUGGUUGAGGAUCUCCCAAGGAUUGAGGGAAAACGGAGGAUACCUUAUUUGGCGCUCCCACCAUCAGCUUCACAGGGUUUGAAGAAGCAACACGCCUAAGUUGUAGCUACAGGUUUUUAUAGUAAAAAAAAAAAUGCAUGUCAUUUGUUCUAAUAAUAUUUUUCAAUUACUAUUUUUUGUGUCAAUAACUUAAAAAUAAGCUCUCUAAUAAUAAUAUACCUUCAAUUUUCAUUAAAAAUAUAGUUAACAUAGUAAUAUUCAACAUUGUUCAACAAAUUUAAUCUUUUCACAGUUCAUAUCCUUAUUUACAAUAGUUGGGGAUUAUGAUCUACGACGAUGUUGUGCACAAUAUGUAACGUAGAUUCCCUUAUUUAAUAAUAGUUAUUCCAUUUGUCAGGUAUUCUAGUCAGGUUGUCACCUCUGAUCAGAUUCGUGAUUGUCAGCCAAUAUUAAUCCUCAUUCAUAGUCAGUUUGUAUAUACAUAGGUAGAUCAAUAAUUAACUGUCUUUGUAAUAAAUUCAAUACAUUUUUUAUUGUAAAAGCUGCGUUGCAGACAGGAGCGUACUAGCCUAGUACAUCAGGAAGUAGCUAGUUUGUAUAAAAUUGUAUAUAGGGGUUAUAGGUAUUUUUUUUCAUUAAAUUUGUUGGUUGUA